rnacentral:rRNA from 1 species
CCUACGGGAGGCAGCAGUGGGGAAUAUUGCACAAUGGGCGAAAGCCUGAUGCAGCGACGCCGCGUGAGGGAUGACGGCCUUCGGGUUGUAAACCUCUUUCAGCAGGGAAGAAGCGAAAGUGACGGUACCUGCAGAAGAAGCGCCGGCUAACUACGUGCCAGCAGCCGCGGUAAUACGUAGGGCGCAAGCGUUGUCCGGAAUUAUUGGGCGUAAAGAGCUCGUAGGCGGCUUGUCGCGUCGGAUGUGAAAGCCCGGGGCUUAACCCCGGGUCUGCAUUCGAUACGGGCUAGCUAGAGUGUGGUAGGGGAGAUCGGAAUUCCUGGUGUAGCGGUGAAAUGCGCAGAUAUCAGGAGGAACACCGGUGGCGAAGGCGGAUCUCUGGGCCAUUACUGACGCUGAGGAGCGAAAGCGUGGGGAGCGAACAGGAUUAGAUACCCUGGUAGUCCACGCCGUAAACGUUGGGAACUAGGUGUUGGCGACAUUCCACGUCGUCGGUGCCGCAGCUACGACAUAACGUUACCCGUCCGUCGGGAGGUACGGCCGGCGACGGACGUAAACGUACGAAAGGUAAAGUUAGUACGGCGUUGUAGACGUUGCCGAACGGACGACGACGAGGGAGGUUAGG